rnacentral:rRNA from 1 species
GACGAACGCUGGCGGCGUGCUUAACACAUGCAAGUCGAACGAACAGGCCCUGCUCUUGUGGGGUCCUCGAGUGGCGAACGGGUGAGUAACACGUGAAUAACCUGCCCUUGACUUUGGGAUAACUUCAGGAAAAUGGGGCUAAUACCGGAUAGGAGCUCCUGCUGCAUGGUGGGGGUUGGAAAGUUUCGGCGGUUGGGGCUGGAAUCGCGGCUUAUCCGCUUGUUGGUGGGGUAGUGGCUUACCAAGGCUUUGACGGGUAGCCGGCCUGAGAGGGUGACCGGCGACAUGGGGACUGAGAUACGGCCCAGACUCCUACGGGAGGCAGCAGUGGGGAAUAUUGCACAAUGGGCGGAAGCCUGAUGCAGCAACGCCGCGUGCGGGAUGACGGCCUUCGGGUUGUAAACCGCUUUCGCCUGUGACGAAGCGUGAGUGACGGUAAUGGGUAAAGAAGCACCGGCUAACUACGUG